AUUACUCCAGGGCGCAUGCACAUAAAAGAGUGAUGUCGGCAUCGAACAACCAAUCGUGUUCAAUAUGGAUAGAGCGAGAGCCGUGUAUUUUUCCGUGGAGACGCAAGAAAUAAUUAUUCAAAAAUACGUGGAGUAUAAACGUCUUUCAAGCAUGCAGUAAUAUGGUCUCUGCUGCCGAAUCAAGAGAAGAAUGUUGGGGAAAGAUCGCUGAUUACAUUAAUGCCUAAAUGCAACCCCAACUACAAACGUUCUUGGCAGCAGAUAAAGACAAAAUAUAAAAAUAUCAUUCAAAGUGCAAACAGAAAGUGACGUUCGGAAAACUGGGGGAGGGCGCUGGCUCGGAGUAGCAAUAAGGGGUGGCUGAUUAUGGAUGGGAUUACAGGUGCUGUACAAUCUGACCCUGGUGCUGGCUCCAAGCAAGUGACACUGGGUAUGUGUGUAAUGCAUUACUACCUUUAAAAAGUUUCACAUGUGGCUGACUGUUCUGCAGUAGAGGGAAAUACAGUGUCCCUGUUGAAGCCGGCACAUGUUCACACAGUCUCCCACACAGAGGUGAGCAUG